AUCGCUUCUCGGCUUUUUGGCUAAGAUCAAGUGUAGUAUCUGUUCUUAUCAGUUUAAUAUCUGAUACGUCCUCCAUACGAGGACCUUAUAUUAAAUGGAUUUUUAGAUUAGGGAGCAGGAACAGGGGCUUGCUCCAUCCGCUCCACGCAUCAACCUGGUAUUGCAGUACUUCCAAGAAUGGUGCACUCAUA